AUUGAACGCUGGCGGCAUGCUUUUCACAUGCAAGUCGAACGGUAACAGGCCUUCGGGUGCUGACGAGUGGCGAACGGGUGAGUAAUGCAUCGGAACGUACCCAGAGGUGGGGGAUAACGCAGCGAAAGCUGUGCUAAUACCGCAUGUGAUCUGAGGAUGAAAGCGGGGGACCGAGCAGCAAUGUUUGGCCUCGCGCCUUUGGAGCGGCCGAUGUCGGAUUAGCUAGUUGGUGGGGUAAAGGCCUACCAAGGCGACGAUCCGUAGCUGGUCUGAGAGGACGACCAGCCACACUGGGACUGAGACACGGCCCAGACUCCUACGGGAGGCAGCAGUGGGGAAUUUUGGACAAUGGGCGCAAGCCUGAUCCAGCAAUGCCGCGUGCGGGAAGAAGGCCUUCGGGUUGUAAACCGCUUUUGGCAGGAACGAAACGGUGUCCGCUAAUACCGGGCGCUAAUGACGGUACCUGCAGAAUAAGCACCGGCUAACUACGUG
rnacentral:rRNA from 1 species